rnacentral:tRNA from 1 species
UCGGUAGACGCUACGGACUUAAAUCGUGAGGGUUCAAGUCCCUCUAUCCCC